UUUACGAUGGAGAGUUUGAUCCUGGCUCAGGAUGAACGCUAGCGGCAGGCCUAAUACAUGCAAGUCGAGCGGGUCGCAAGACCAGCGGCAAACGGGUGCGUAACGCGUAAGCAACCUG
rnacentral:rRNA from 1 species